UACGUAGGGUGCGAGCGUUAAUCGGAAUUACUGGGCGUAAAGCGUGCGCAGGCGGUGAUGUAAGACCGAUGUGAAAUCCCCGGGCUUAACCUGGGAACUGCAUUGGUGACUGCAUUGCUGGAGUAUGGCAGAGGGGGGUGGAAUUCCACGUGUAGCAGUGAAAUGCGUAGAGAUGUGGAGGAACACCGAUGGCGAAGGCAGCCCCCUGGGCCAAUACUGACGCUCAUGCACGAAAGCGUGGGGAGCAACAGG
rnacentral:rRNA from 1 species